rnacentral:rRNA from 1 species
GACGAACGCUGGCGGCGUGCUUAACACAUGCAAGUCGAGCGGAGCGGCGAACGGGGGAGUAACGCGUGAGUAAAUGCCCCCCUCCCCGGGAUAACCGUUGGAAACGGCUGCUAAUAUCGGCUAGUGGGGGAUGACCCGCGGCCUAUCAGCGUGUUGGUGGUGUAGUAGCCUACCAAGGCGACGCCGGGUAGCCGGACUGGGAGGGCGACCGGCCACAUUGGGCUGAGAUACGGCCCAAACUCCUACGGGAGGCAGCAGUGGGAAGUAGUGCACAAGGGGGGAAACCCUGAUGCAGCAACGCCGCGUGCGGGAUGACGGCCUUCGGGUUGUAAACCGCUUUCAGCCAUGACGCGGUAGUGGCAGAAGAAGCACCGGCUAACUACGUGCCAGCAGCCGCGGUAAUUC